rnacentral:rRNA from 1 species
GAUGAACGCUAGCGGCAGGCUUAACACAUGCAAGUCGAGGGGUAUAGGUUUUCGGACCUAGAGACCGGCGCACGGGUGCGUAACGCGUAUGCAAUCUACCUUUCACAGAGGGAUAGCCCAGAGAAAUUUGGAUUAAUACCUCAUAGUAUAGCAGUUUCGCAUGAAACCACUAUUAAAGUUCCAACGGUGAAAGAUGAGCAUGCGUCCCAUUAGCUAGAUGGUAAGGUACCGGCUUAACAUGGCUACGAUGGGUAGGGGUCCUGAGAGGGAGAUCCCCCACACUGGUACUGAGACACGGACCAGACUCCUACGGGAGGCAGCAGUGAGGAAUAUUGGUCAAUGGACGCAAGUCUGAACCAGCCAUGCCGCGUGCAGGAUGACGGUCCUAUGGAUUGUAAACUGCUUUUGUACGAGAAGAAACAACAUUACGUGUAAUGUCUUGACGGUAUCGUAAGAAUAAGGAUCGGCUAACUCCGUGCCAGCCGCCGCCGUAAAAC